GUAGGUGGCAAGCGUUGUCCGGAAUUAUUGGGCGUAAAGCGCGCGCAGGCGGUUCUUUAAGUCUGAUGUGAAAGCCCACGGCUCAACCGUGGAGGGUCAUUGGAAACUGGAGAACUUGAGUACAGAAGAGGAAAGCGGAAUUCCACGUGUAGCGGUGAAAUGCGUAGAGAUGUGGAGGAACACCAGUGGCGAAGGCGGCUUUCUGGUCUGUAACUGACGCUGAGGCGCGAAAGCGUGGGGGAGCAAACAGGAUUAGAUACCCUGGUAGUCCACGCCGUAAACGAUGAGUGCUAAGUGUUAGGGGGUUUCCGCCCCUUAGUGCUGCAGCUAACGCAUUAAGCACUCCGCCUGGGGAGUACGGCCGCAAGGUCUAG
rnacentral:rRNA from 1 species